UGACCACACCGCAUUGAUGCCUCUUGGGGGAUGCUUGGCAUUGGAUUUUAGCAUGCAUUUGACUCCGACGUGGCAGAUAUAGUGCGUAGAUAGAUGAUGAAUUGGCAUCCGUCAGUGCUGUACUUGUUUGUAGCUUAGUAGUACUCUAACAACUAAAGAAGUAAAUGGUGGAUAAUUGGACGUUGUUGAAGUUUGAUGGAAAAUCGAUGAAGGAAUGGGAGGCGAGGAAAGCAGACUAAAGUUUCACCCUUUUUCAUCUGAAUUACACUCACACUUGCAUAUACCCUCUCAUUUAAUGGGGAGUCGAACUGUCCCUCUAAGACAAAUCUCAAUGAGAGUUUCAUAGGAGUUUUGUGAGCAUUAAAUUUGAUGCAACAUCAUCAAAAUUACUGACGGCAAGAUCCCCAUGACACUCAACUAGCACAAUUAUCAAGUUUUUAGUCUUGAUAACUGUACAAUAAAACUGUGCACUGAGAUUGGCCUAAAAUUUACAACUGUUCUUCUCCAACCACUGUAUUCCUGGUAUAUUCAAGUGUACAGAAAGUCGUAACGUAAAUCAAGAAGGAACUCCAGGUGGUUUUCUCUCUCUUGAUCAUUCCAGGGUCCUCGCAGCUUUUGGCUCUCCCCGCCAAGCCUUUCCCUGGAGGUUUCGCUGGCGAUCAAGCUCCCAAUCGUUUCCAUCCAUUUUCCUGGAUUCGCAUCGGCAUGCACACUCCUUAUCGUGUGUUUCAGCCUCGCCACCCCUAUUCUCGUCUUGAACUCUUGAGCUAUGGGGAUGUCGCCUGGCUCGAAACUUUGUGCGGUCGCUCCUCAUCCCUGCAAAACAGAGCUUGCGCGCCCCUUAGCUAGGGUCGGGGGGUUAGGUGGAUCGGAGGCCGUUCCCGAACAAAAGUCGUCUGCUUGUGCCUGGCAAGCGUCGCUCUGCACGCAUGCCCUCAUGCCGUCAUGCGUGGGAAAGCAGCUCACUAAACCCGUGUUCUUCGUCGCAGAUUAU
rnacentral:lncRNA from 1 species